ensembl:misc_RNA Metazoa_SRP Metazoan signal recognition particle RNA
GCCGGGCGCGGUGGCUCACGCCUGUAAUCCCAGCACUUUGGGAGGCCGAGGCGGGAGGAUCGCCUGAGGUCGGGAGUUCGAGACUAGCCUGACCAAUAUGGAGAAAUCCCGUCUCUC